rnacentral:lncRNA from 1 species
CAAAUCCAGCUCAUCCACCAAUAUCUGUGAUUGAAAUAACAUUUCAAUGGACUUCAUACUGUAUUAUGGUAUCCAGAGGAUGUUUGAAUAUGUUUUUGCCUGGAAUAUUUAGCGCAGUGUUGAACCUAUUGGUGUUUUAAAUCUUAAGCUUUACCUGUGGGCAUACAAUAUUGGAGGUGAUGAUUUUCAACUUUCCCAUCUCAGAUGCAGUUCCGGGCUCUGUGUGUUUGUGUGUGCAGGUGAGAGAGAUGGGGAGAAAGGUUAUGCCUGAUAUUAGGUGAUGAUUGCAUGUGAUCUGCACAUAGUAGCUAUGAAACCUGCUUUGUAAACUGUAGAAGAAUAAGGGGUAGCAACUGAAUUCCCUGUUGAAGUUUACCUACGCAUGUUGUAAUAACAAAAGGAGAAAAAAGGUCAGUGAUAUGAGCUACCAAAACUCCUGUUAAUUGCUAUCAUGUCUACUUUGAGUACUGUUUGUAAGUUGGAAUACAGUGACAGACAGUAGGCAACCUCUUGGAGACCAUAGUCAUCUGGAAAUUGUCUUGUGUGUUUGGCAUGAUCUAUGGAUAUGGCUUCUCUAAGGUGUCUUCUGCCCCCACUUCCCUUGCUUUGCUGUUUCAUCCCAGGAAAAUCACAUUAUUCCAUUUGAAAUAAAAGGAUAAUAAUGUUUAUCUGGAUAAUUGUUAACAAAGUGAUUGACAUGGGUAUUGAACGGAAGACCAUACGCAUUGUUUGUGGAAACAACUUGAGCUGAAUGUUUCUGUUUAGUAGAUCCAUGGGAAAGAUCCAUUCGUUUCUUCUCUUUAUUAAUAGUUUGUCAUUGAAAAGCCAAUAUAACUACAGAGCAUUUGACAACAUGUUUUGGGAUACCUGGCAUAUCUGAUUCAGAAAUGGGAAGGGCCAAAAGUGAUUUCCCAUUCAUUUUCCUUGGGAUGAGUCUUCUCAGGUACAAAAGUUUCUAGUCCAUAGGAGUUAAGCUGUUGAAUUUAAUUUCAUAGAGUCAUAGAAUAAUUCAGGUUGGAAGAGACCUCGGGAUGUCAUUCCUUGACACUAUUUUCACUUAAGUCACUUGAGUUUAUUUGAAAAAAAAAGAGGUCACAUUCCAUUUCUGAGUUCAGUCUUUGCCCUACACAAUCUCUAGUAAAAGCUAAAAGGAGAAUUAAAAGGAUGUAAUUAAGUUGCUAAUAAUUACCUAAAAUGUUUAUGGAA